ACGCUGGCGGCGCGCCUAACACAUGCAAGUCGAACGAGAAAGCGGGGGCAACCUCUCAUUCAGUGGCGAACGGGUGAGUAAUGCAUCGGAACGUGUCCCGUAGUGGGGGAUAACUCGGCGAAAGCCGAGCUAAUACCGCAUAUGCUCUACGGAGGAAAGCAGGGGACCUGAGAGGGCCUUGUGCUAUGGGAGCGGCCGAUGUCCGAUUAGCUUGUUGGUGGGGUAAUGGCCUACCAAGGCGACGAUCGGUAGCUGGUCUGAGAGGAUGAUCAGCCACACUGGGACUGAGACACGGCCCAGACUCCUACGGGAGGCAGCAGUGGGGAAUUUUGGANCAUGGGGGCANCCCUGAUCCAGCCAUGCCGCGUGCGGGAAGAAGGCCUUCGGGUUUGUAACCGC
rnacentral:rRNA from 1 species